GGCUGCAGCAAGGCACUGACUCGAAGUUAGGACAAUUGAGCUGCAGAACAGGGAGGAGAUGCGGGCUCCAUCACCACCUCUUUCGCAGUGCAGUGGGUGACAAGAAAGAUCUCUGAUUUCCCCUCACAUCUCCCAGCACCCAGAGCAAGGUGUGAUCAGAUGGUCUUCUACUACAACAGAAACGUUGCCGGACACCCAGCAAAAGAACGAUAAAGCUUCGAACUUCUCCCCUCGCUAAACUUCUAGGCGGAGAGCACUGCUGCGAGGUGAAAUCCAUUUGGAGCCAUCCCUGCCAGGCGGCCCGCAGCCCGGCGGGGCGGACGGCAGCUCCGCGCCCGGGAAGUUUCUCCGUGCAAGAGAAUUUGCAGCCUUGAAAGCAUAUUUUUCUUCCAGCUAUGGUGGCACUUAAAUGAUAAUGUAGGCAAUGAAACUGGGGAGAUUUAUAUCUUUUGGAAAGUAGGACGAGCCAGAUGGUAAUAGCGUCAUUAACAAACAAACUUAGGAUCUGCAAGUGAAGCUUGAAAUUGGGAAAGAGAUCUGGAGAACAAAAGGAGCUGCUGUUGAGGGGGGGAAAAAAAAAAAGAGUCCCUCUUCUGCGGCCAAAUCUAAGAGCACAUUCUGGAGGGGCUGCUCCUGCCCAGCGCUAGAUAAUAAACGACGGCUUUUUCCUCCCCUGUUGUGACUGAGAAAGGACAGAGAAAACUUUUGCAAUAGGCAAAUGUGGCAUUUAUUUAUGUGUAACCCUUUGUAGUCUCAAGUGUCCCAAAUGGGCCUUUAAUUCAAAUCCCUAGUUUGAUACGGAGGGAUCGCUUCUCCCAAGUUUAUUUUAGAGAAACAAAGCUCCGCUUGUAGAAGUUGAAGGGCAGAAGUUCAGUAAUUAUUUUUUUGAAUUAAUAGUAACGAAUAAAUAUUAAAGGUU